GGAGAGGUGCCGGAGUGGCCGAACGGGGCUGCCUGCUAAGCAGUUGUACGGGCUAAAACCUGUACCGAGGGUUCGAAUCCCUCCCUCUCCGCCA
rnacentral:tRNA from 1 species